UCGGAAUUACUGGGCGUAAAGGGUGCGUAGGUGGUUUGUUAAGUCAAGUGUGAAAUCCCUGGGCUCAACCUGGGAACUGCAUUUGAUACUGGCAGACUCGAGUCUGGUAGAGGGUGGUGGAAUUCCGCAUGUAGCGGUGAAAUGCGUAGAGAUGCGGAGGAACAUCAGUGGCGAAGGCGGCCACCUGGACCAAGACUGACACUGAGGCACGAAAGCGUGGGGAUCAAACAGGAUUAGAUACCCUGGUAGUCCACGCCCUAAACGAUGGGUACUAGACGUUGGGAAGUUUAUCUUCUUGGUGUCGCAGCUAACGCAUUAAGUACCCCGCCUGGGGAGUACGGUCGCAAGAUUAAAACUCAAAUGAAUUGACGGGGGCCCGCACAAGCGGUGGAGCAUGUGGUUUAAUUCGAUGCAACGCGAAGAACCUUACCAGGUCUUGACAUCCCCGGAACUUGGCAGAGAUGCCUUGGUGCCUUCGGGAACCGGGUGACAGGUGCUGCAUGGCCGUCGUCAGCUCGUGUCGUGAGAUGUUGGGUUAAGUCCCGUAACGAGCGCAACCCUUGUCCUUAGUUGCCAGCACUUCGGGUGGGAACUCUAGGGAGACUGCCGGUGACAAACCGGAGGAAGGUGGGGACGACGUCAGGUCAUCAUGGCCCUUACGACCUGGGCUACACACGUGCUACAAUGGCUGGUACAGAGGGUUGCGAAGUCGCGAGGCGAAGCCAAUCCCUUAAAGCCAGUCGUAGUCCGGAUUGGAGUCUGCAACUCGACUCCAUGAAGUCGGAAUCGCUAGUAAUCGCGGAUCAGAAUGCCGCGGUGAAUACGUUCCCGGGCCUUGUACACACCGCCCGUCACACCAUGGGAGUGGAUUGCACCAGAAGUGGCUAGUCUAACUUCGGAGGACGGUCACCACGGUGUGGUUCAUGACUGGGGUGAAGUCGUAACAAGGGUAAC
rnacentral:rRNA from 1 species